GUGGGUCUCUAGUUACUAGGAUCACUGCUGAGCCUCACAUCGGAAGUACUAGACUUGGUGGUGUCACUACUAGAGUUCCGACUCAAGGUGUUGAUAAUACACGGAAGUCAGGUAAGCGGAGUUUAUAUACUAGUUUUACAUAAAAGAAAU